rnacentral:rRNA from 1 species
GACGAACGCUGGCGGCGUGCUUAACACAUGCAAGUCGAACGGAAAGGCUCCAGCUUGCUGGAGUACUCGAGUGGCGAACGGGUGAGUAACACGUGGGUGAUCUGCCCUGCACUUCGGGAUAAGCCUGGGAAACUGGGUCUAAUACCGGAUAGGACCGCACUUUGGUGUGUGUGGUGGAAAGGUUUUUCUGAUGUGGGAUGAGCUCGCGGCCUAUCAGUUUGUUAGUGGGGUAAUGGCCUACCAAGACGGCGACGGGUAGCCGGCCUGAGAGGGUGGACGGUCACAUUGGGACUGAGAUACGGCCCAGACUCCUACGGGAGGCAGCAGUGGGGAAUAUUGCACAAUGGGGGAAACCCUGAUGCAGCGACGCCGCGUGGGGGAUGAAGGCCUUCGGGUUGUAAACUCCUUUCGCUAGGGACGAAGCUUUUUGUGACGGUACCUGGAGAAGAAGCACCGGCUAACUACGUG